GCGAGGAACCCCCAGGUCCGGGGUCUCGACCCUCUGUGGAACCCCCUCCCUUCCCCUAUCCGGGAUUGAGCAGCAUCCCAAUUCUGGGAACAUCCUGGGGUCCCUGACCCUGGGCAAAUGGCCCUUCCAUCUUGGGACCUCCAUACAGGGCUGCAGGCCCCUAGGCUCCCCCACCCCAGGGUUUAGACCCAUCUGACUGAGGGCGUUUGCCUCCCACCCACUUCCCCCUGACCCUUCCCCAAAUCCCUUGGCACAGACCCCCUCGCCGGGGUUUCCCAUCCCGGGACUGAACCCCUCCUCCCUUUCACAGAUUACCUCAUCCGAGCAAGAUUCCUCCCUCCCUCCCUCCUAGAGACCUGAUCCCGCCACAUCCCCGCCUCCCUCUCUGGGCAGAUGUGUUACUCCUAGGGCAGUUUUCCUCUCCGGCAUCUCUCGGGUGAUGGCCUCAUCCAGGGCCACGUUCUUCUCCUGGCCCUUGGGGAUCGAUGUCCCUUCUAGCACCUUGCUUCUGAAAACCUGAUGAACCCUCGCCCCAUCCCCGGGCCGGGUCCCUGCACUACCAGCCACUCCCCCUUCCUUCCCCUCCACCCCCUACCCCAAGCAGAUAGAUCCUCCCCCAACCCGCCCUACCCCACUGGGGAAAAUGUCCUUUCCUCUCCACCUUGCCUCCCCGCACCUCCUUUCCCUUCAAGAUAACGGUGAUCUCCUCCUACAGCAGUCUCUUCCCCCAUCUUACAGGGCUCCAGUUUCUAGCCUAUUGGUAGCAGGGAAUUACUCUACCUUCACUCCACCCAUUCCCUCCUUUAGAAUGAAGGAUUAGUGGCAUCUUUGAGGGGAAAAUAGUCCACUGUUCCCAAGGCUUAGAGAAGAGCAGCUUUCCACCACUCCCUCUGGAGAGGAGGCAGGCUUUCCCCCAGCUCUGAGGAAGGGGGCCCCUGUGAGGGAGGUGUUUGUGGGGGGACUUGGGCAGCAUCCUCCCAGGGGAAGCAGCUGCUCUCCUACCCCACCCACUGCGCCUGAGAGCACGCAGUCUCCAGCCCUAGCUCCCUCCCGCCCUUCUUUUCUCGACAUUUCAUUAUUGAUCCACCUUUUCCUAGGCCAACCCUGGGGCUUGGGAGGGGUGGGGGUAGCCAGUUUGGGGUGAGGAGAGUGAUAAGGGACAGUUAUACUUUAGUGUGGUGGCAGUGGUGAUUGCUUUGGGUUGAGAGAAAGAGGAGGAUUAUGAAGCAAAGUUAUUCCUUAGAAGGAGGGCUUAGGGUUCUCUCUCUCUUUCUUAAAGGGGACCCAAGGUGGAUGAAGGGUCAGAACUUUGCCCCUUCUCCUUUAGUACUGGGGUGAGAACUGGGAUGCUUUAAUGAACAUUAUUCAGUCCCCUUCAGCAAAAAGGAAAGUUGCCCUGGGAAGGGAAGUUGAGUUCAGGUUCAGCCAGAGUCGUUGCGCAUUUGUUUUCCAUUGGAUGCAGAAGGGGGAGUUUGAAUGUAGGGGGGAGAAGGGGAUGGGGGAUGCUAGGAGGAGGAAGAGCAGCUGCUUGGGGCUGAAGCGAGGGGGGGGUAGGGGGUUGCUGCUCUGGAGUGCUCUUGAUUGAAACAGAAAGGGAAAGAUAACAACCAGCCGUUUCCUGCGUGCUCUGCCGUUGGUGCACACAAAAUAUCCUGGGCAAACCCCUUGUCCCCUAUUGUGCCCCGCACCCCUUUAGAUUUACGGAAAGAUCCUGGGAAGAAGGGGAGGGAGGAGAUCCCAGGGACCCCAGCCCCUCCUUUCAAGGAGCUGGCAUUUUUUAGUUGUUAGUCUUCCUGCCUCCUUUUUUUAAUCGUUUCUAAGGCAGCCUGAUCAGGAGACUGACAACAACCCGCCUUCUGACAGAGCAAGGAGGACAUGAUGGGGGCGUGUUCCUUGCUAUGUAGCUAGCUGCAGCGUCCCUUUUCCCUGCCUCUCUCUGCUCUAUCUCCACCUCCUUUUCCCAGCCUUCAGAAGGCAGCUGCAGUCAGCAGGGUUGUUUGAGACUAUUUAUUGGUUGCUGUAGAUUAUUAUUUUUUUUUGAAAGGCCAAUUCUGUAUUUUUUAAGCUAACAACACAGAUCCCAUGUAGUUGGAGAACCAAAGGCCUCAUACAUGACAAAAAGACUGAACCGUUCAGGUUACUUGCAUGGAGUUGGUGCUUAAAUGUUCCUCAACUUAAAAGGGAUGAGGAGACCUUGGAGACGGUUCUGAGGAGACUCAAAAGAUGAUUAUAUGACUGGAAGUCAGUCCUAUGAGGAAAGGUUGAGAGAAUGAAAGGUUAAGAGGCAACUUAAUAACUCUUCAAAAUACAUGAAUGGAUCCAUUAUUAGGAAUGGUAACCAGCUGUUUUCUAGCUCCACUGGUACUAGAAUAAGAGAAGUAGGUUUAAACUGAAGUAAGGGAUAGUUGGGUAAAGAACUUGUUGCAAAUGAUGGUUGUCAUUAUAGAGAUGGUAAAACGAUUACCAAAAUAAUUUUAUCAUCUUCUCUGGAGGUAUAUUUUUAAAGUACAGUACUACCUGUGUUUGUAUAAAAUGACCUCUCAAGCUACCUUCUCCUUUUGUGAAUAAAUAAAUAUUUUUUCAGCUCCU